AUGGAGGCGGAUGACUGGGAGGAGUUACAGUUGAAAGCAGCCGGGACUAUACGGUUGUGUCUGUCGGACCAGAUUAUUUAUCAUGUGAUGGAUGAGAAUUCGCCGAAGAAGAUCUGGGAGAAGCUGGAAAGUCAGUUUAUGUCCAAGACUGCGACGACCAAGGUGUAUCUGAAGCAAAAGUUGUAUGGGAUGAGGAUGCAGGAGGGGUCAGAUCUUGUGGAGUAUAUGAACGCCUUUAAUCAAGUCGUGACGGAUCUAGCACGCUUGGGUGCGACGGUUGAUGACGAGGAUAGGGCAAUUCUGCUUCUUUGUUCAUUGCCAUCAUCCUAUGACCAUUUGAUCACUACUUUGACGCACGGCAAGGAGACCGUCAAGAAUGAGGAUAUUACUGCGCAUUGCUAUCUUAUGAUAUGA
rnacentral:rRNA from 1 species